GCUUGCCUCGGCAGCACAUAUACUAAAAUUGGAACGAUACAGAGAAAACUAGCAUGGCCCCUGCGCAAGAAUGACACGCAAAUUCGUGAAGUGUUCCAUAUUUAA
rnacentral:snRNA from 2 species